AUUGAACGCUGGCGGCAUGCCUUACACAUGCAAGUCGAACGGCAGCAUAGGAGCUUGCUCCUGAUGGCGAGUGGCGAACGGGUGAGUAAUAUAUCGGAACGUGCCCUAGAGUGGGGGAUAACUAGUCGAAAGACUAGCUAAUACCGCAUACGAUCUACGGAUGAAAGUGGGGGAUCGCAAGACCUCAUGCUCCUGGAGCGGCCGAUAUCUGAUUAGCUAGUUGGUGGGGUAAAAGCCUACCAAGGCGACGAUCAGUAGCUGGUCUGAGAGGACGACCAGCCACACUGGGACUGAGACACGGCCCAGACUCCUACGGGAGGCAGCAGUGGGGAAUUUUGGACAAUGGGGGCAACCCUGAUCCAGCAAUGCCGCGUGAGUGAAGAAGGCCUUCGGGUUGUAAAGCUCUUUUGUCAGGGAAGAAACGGUAGUAGCUAAUAUCUAUUACUAAUGACGGUACCUGAAGAAUAAGCACCGGCUAACUACGUGCCAGCAGCCGCGGUAAUACGUAGGGUGCAAGCGUUAAUCGGAAUUACUGGGCGUAAAGCGUGCGCAGGCGGUUGUGUAAGUCAGAUGUGGAAUCCCCGGGCUCAACCUGGGAAUUGCAUUUGAGACUGCACGGCUAGAGUGUGUCAGAGGGGGGUAGAAUUCCACGUGUAGCAGUGAAAUGCGUAGAUAUGUGGAGGAAUACCGAUGGCGAAGGCAGCCCCCUGGGAUAACACUGACGCUCAUGCACGAAAGCGUGGGGAGCAAACAGG
rnacentral:rRNA from 1 species